rnacentral:rRNA from 1 species
CCUACGGUGAGUAGCAGUGAGGAAUAUUGGUCAAUGGGAGAGAUCCUGAACCAGCCAAGCCGCGUGAGGGAAGACGGCCCUAUGGGUUGUAAACCUCUUUUGUCGGAGAACAAAACCCGGGACGUGUCCCGGAAUGCGUGUAUCCGAAGAAAAAGCAUCGGCUAACUCCGUGCCAGCAGCCGCGGUACUAGGGAGGAUGCGAGGGGUAUCCGGAUUUAUUGGGUUUAAAGGGUGCGUAGGCGGUCCGUUAAGUCAGCGGAAAAAUUGAGGUGCUCAACCCCGUCGAGCCGUUGAAACGGGCAGACUUGAGUUGGCGAGAAGUACGCGGAAUGCGCGGUGUAGCGGUGAAAUGCAUAGAUAUCGCGCAGAACUCCGAUUGCGAAGGCAGCGUACCGGCGCCAGACUGACGCUGAGGCACGAAAGCGUGGGGAUCGAACAGGAUUAGAUACCCGAGUAGUC